UACGUAGGGGGCAAGCGUUGUCCGGAAUUAUUGGGCGUAAAGCGCGCGCAGGCGGUCAUUUAAGUUUGGUGUUUAAGCCCGGGGCUCAACCCCGGAUCGCACUGAAAACUGGGUGACUUGAGUGCGGGAGAGGAAAGUGGAAUUCCACGUGUAGCGGUGAAAUGCGUAGAGAUGUGGAGGAACACCAGUGGCGAAGGCGACUUUCUGGACCGUAACUGACGCUGAGGCGCGAAAGCGUGGGGAGCAAACAGG
rnacentral:rRNA from 2 species